UACGAAGGGGGCUAGCGUUGCUCGGAAUCACUGGGCGUAAAGCGCACGUAGGCGGGUUCUUAAGUCGGUGGUGAAAUCCUGGAGCUCAACUCCAGAACUGCCUCCGAUACUGAGGGCCUCGAGUCCGGGAGAGGUGAGUGGAACUGCGAGUGUAGAGGUGAAAUUCGUAGAUAUUCGCAAGAACACCAGUGGCGAAGGCGGCUCACUGGCCCGGUACUGACGCUGAGGUGCGAAAGCGUGGGGAGCAAACAGG
rnacentral:rRNA from 1 species